rnacentral:rRNA from 1 species
GAUGAACGCUGACAGAAUGCUUAACACAUGCAAGUCCACUUGAACUUCGGUUUGGGUGGCGGACGGGUGAGUAACGCGUAAAGAACUUGCCUCACAGAUAGGGACAACAUUUGGAAACGAAUGCUAAUACCUGAUAUUAUGAUUAUAUGGCAUCGUAUAAUUAUGAAAGCUAUAUGCGCUGUGAGAGAGCUUUGCGUCCCAUUAGCUAGUUGGAGAGGUAACGGCUCACCAAGGCGAUGAUGGGUAGCCGGCCUGAGAGGGUGAUCGGCCACAAGGGGACUGAGACACGGCCCUUACUCCUACGGGAGGCAGCAGUGGGGAAUAUUGGACAAUGGACCAAGAGUCUGAUCCAGCAAUUCCGUGUGCACGAUGAAGUUUUUCGGAAUGUAAAGUGCUUUCAGUUGGGAAGAAAAAAAUGACGGUACCAACAGAAGAAGUGACGGCUAAAUACGUG